rnacentral:rRNA from 2 species
UUCGGGUAAUUGAGAGCGGCGUACGGGUGCGGAACACGUGUGCAACCUGCCUUUAUCAGGGGGAUAGCCUUUCGAAAGGAAGAUUAAUACCCCAUAAUAUAUUAUUCGGCAUCGGGUGAUAUUGAAAACUACGGUGGAUAGAGAUGGGCACGCGCAAGAUUAGCUAGUUGGUGAGGUAACGGCUCACCAAGGCGACGAUCUUUAGGGGGCCUGAGAGGGUGAUCCCCCACACUGGUACUGAGACACGGACCAGACUCCUACGGGAGGCAGCAGUGAGGAAUAUUGGACAAUGGGUGAAAGCCUGAUCCAGCCAUCCCGCGUGCAGGAAGACGGCCCUAUGGGUUGUAAACUGCUUUUAUCUGGGGAUAAACCUACUUACGUGUAAGUAGCUGAAGGUACCAGAAGAAUAAGCACCGGCUAACUCCGUGCCAGCAGCCGCGGUAAUACGGAGGGUGCAAGCGUUAUCCGGAUUUAUUGGGUUUAAAGGGUCCGUAGGCGGACUGAUAAGUCAGUGGUGAAAUCCGACAGCUUAACUGUCGAACUGCCAUUGAUACUGUUAGUCUUGAGUAAGGUUGAAGUGGCUGGAAUAAGUAGUGUAGCGGUGAAAUGCAUAGAUAUUACUUAGAACACCAAUU